AAAGGUGGGGACCUUCGGGCCCAUCGCUUGUAGAUAAGCCUGCAUCUGAUUAGUUAGUUGGUAGGGUAACGGCCUACCAAGACCGCGAUCAGUAGCUGUUCUAAGAGGAAGAUCAGCCACAUUGGGACUGAGAUACGGCCCAGACUCCUACGGGAGGCAGCAGUGAGGAAUUUUGCGCAAUGGGAGAGAUCCUGACGCACCAACGCCGCGUGACCUAUUGAAGCUUAUAGGAGUGUAAAGGUCUGUCGUGAGGGAAGAAAAAGACCGACAAUAAUAAGUUCGGUAAUUGACGGUACCUCACAAGCAAGCUCCGGCUAACUUCGUGCCAGCAGCCGAGGUUAUACGAGGGGAGCAAGCGUUGUCCGAAAUAACUGGGCGUAAAGGGUACGUAGGCAUAUUAGUAUGUUACCGGUGAAAUUCACAGGCUCAACUGUUGACUGGCCGUGAAAACCUUGCAGAGGAUUGAAUCCCGGAAGGGGAAAGCGGAAUUCCUGGUGUAGCGGUGAAAUGCGUAGAUAUCAGGAGGAACACCAGUGGCGAAGGCGGCUUUCUGGUCCGGAAUUGACGCUGAGGUACUAAAGCGUGGGUAGCAAACAGGAUUAGAUACCCUGGUAGUCCACGCCCUAAACGAUGGAUACUUGAUGUCGGAAUGUUCGGUCGUCUCGGUGUCGUAGCUAACGUGGUAAGUAUCCCGCCUGGGGACUACGGUCGCAAGACUGAAACUCAAAGGAAUUGACGGGGGCCCGCACCAGCGGUGGAACAUGUGGUUUAAUUCGAUGCAACGCGAAGAACCUUACCUGGGCUUGACAUAUAUAUGAAGUAUGUAAGAAAUUAUGUAUUCUGUCUGCAUUUGCAGGUAGCAUAUAUACAGGUGAUGCAUGGCUGUCGUCAGCUCGUGUCGUGAGAUGUAGGGUUAAGUCCCUUAACGAGCGCAACCCUUGCUAUUAGUUGCCAUCAGGUAAUGCUGGGGACUCUAGAAGGACUGCCGAGGUUCCCUCGGAGGAAGGUGGGGAUGACGUCAAGUCAGUAUGUCCCUUAUGUCCAGGGCUACACACGUGUUACAAUGGACGGUACAGAGUGCUGCUACGUCGUGAGGCUACGCAAAUCACUUAAAGCCGUUCCCAGUUCGGAUUGGAGUCUGCAAUUCGACUCCAUGAAGUUGGAAUCGCUAGUAA
rnacentral:rRNA from 1 species